GACGAGCCGUGCGAACGUUGUUCGGAAUCACUGGGCUUAAAGGGCGCGUAGGCGGGCUGUCCAGUCUGGGGUGAAAUCCCACGGCUCAACCGUGGAACUGCCUUAGAUACUGACGGCCUCGAGGGGGAUAGGGGCAUGCGGAACUGUAGGUGGAGCGGUGAAAUGCGUUGAUAUCUACAGGAACUCCGGUGGCGAAGGCGGCGUGCUGGAUCUCUUCUGACGCUGAGGCGCGAAAGCUAGGGGAGCAAACGGG
rnacentral:rRNA from 1 species